ensembl:lncRNA
GUACUCUGCUGAGUGCUGGUAUUUAAAACAGCCCCAUGGGGAUCGGUGUUUUUCUUCAGUUUGUGUCAACUUGGUUUGAGCAUUCUUCAGGUAAAGGGUAAGCUACAGGGGUCUGCAACUUCUAGGGCGUCAUCUCUUCCUUGGUGUGGCAGAGUAAACAGUGCUGCUGGAUGGUUGUUCACAGUGAAGCACUGCCCUUGCAUUUCUCAGAGUUCUUCAGUGCCAUACUUGACAACAAAAUGACAGAAGUACCCAUCAGAGAGAUCAACAAAUGAAGUGAAUCUUCCUGGAAAUAAGGAGGCCAAGGAAAAUAUGUAGUUACUCCUGAACAAGUAUGUCAAGAAGCUGACUCAGCAGCUCAGGAUUUGCUCCAGUGGGUAGAAGACAGAACAUUGUUGCAAGAUGAAGAUGUCCGGUGUCUUGGCACAGUGCAGCACUAUACAAUGGUUCUUUUGCAAAUCCUACUACUGCGCUGUAUGAAAGAUCUUUCUAAGGUUGCCACGUCUGGGGCAAUGUUCCGUUUUCUGGAGGCCAUGGUGUGCUGCAGGCACUUGCCAAGGAAGGAGAUGGAAAAGCUGUGCCUUUGCCAGUGCUUAAAGAAUGAAUCUGAAGACUGCUGCGGUUCAGUGGACCACUACUGUGAGCAGCUCCAGUGUGACUGACAGGUGGUUUUUGAAAAUGAGCUCAACUUCAGAUUUACCCUAGUAUUGUCCAUCAUGAAUCGUGAGUCUCACAGCAUUUGGUUAGUUAACAACAAAAGCAGCAAUUCUAUUUCAAACUUCUGACUUCAGAGUUUCCGAAGUUCAGCAAAAAAUGAGGUAG